CCCUGGGACAAAGACUGACGCUCAGGUGCGAAAGCGUGGGGAGCAAACAGGAUUAGAUACCCUGGUAGUCCACGCCGUAAACGAUGUCGACUUGGAGGUUGUGCCCUUGAGGCGUGGCUUCCGGAGCUAACGCGUUAAGUCGACCGCCUGGGGAGUACGGCCGCAAGGAUUAAAACUCA
rnacentral:rRNA from 1 species